AUUGAACGCUGGCGGCAUGCCUUACACAUGCAAGUCGAACGGCAGCACGGGUGCUUGCACCUGGUGGCGAGUGGCGAACGGGUGAGUAAUACAUCGGAACGUACCUUAUCGUGGGGGAUAACGCAGCGAAAGCUGUGCUAAUACCGCAUACGCCCUGAGGGGGAAAGCGGGGGAUCGAAAGACCUCGCGCGAUUAGAGCGGCCGAUGCCUGAUUAGCUUGUUGGUGGGGUGAAAGCCCACCAAGGCGACGAUCAGUAGCUGGUCUGAGAGGACGAUCAGCCACACUGGGACUGAGACACGGCCCAGACUCCUACGGGAGGCAGCAGUGGGGAAUUUUGGACAAUGGGGGCAACCCUGAUCCAGCAAUGCCGCGUGAGUGAAGAAGGCCUUCGGGUUGUAAAGCUCUUUUGUCAGGGAAGAAACACCGGCUCUAACACAGUCCGGGGAUGACGGUACCUGAAGAAUAAGCACCGGCUAACUACGUGCCAGCAGCCGCAGUAA
rnacentral:rRNA from 1 species